rnacentral:rRNA from 1 species
UACGUAGGGUGCGAGCGUUGUCCGGAUUUAUUGGGCGUAAAGAGCUCGUAGGCGGUCUGUCGCGUCGGAUGUGAAAACCCAGGGCUCAACCCUGGGCCUGCAUUCGAUACGGGCAGACUAGAGUACGGCAGGGGAGACUGGAAUUCCUGGUGUAGCGGUGAAAUGCGCAGAUAUCAGGAGGAACACCGGUGGCGAAGGCGGGCCUCUGGGCCGAAACUGACGCUGAGGAGCGAAAGCGUGGGGAGCGAACAGG